CUUAGAGUUUGAUCCUGGCUCAGGACGAACGCUGGCGGCGUGCUUAACACAUGCAAGUCGGCGGGGAUUGAUGAAGUGCUUGCACGGAUUCAAUUCUAGCGGCGGACGGGUGAGUAACGCUGAGCAAUCUGUCCUACACAGGGGGAUAACACUUGGAAACAGGUGCUAAUACCGCAUAAGCCACGCUAUCGCAUGGUAGAGGGGUAAAAGAUUUAUCGGUGUAGGGUGAGCUCGCGUCUGUUAGCUAGUUGGUGAGGUAACGGCCCACCAAGGCGACGAUCAGUAGCCGACCUGAGAGGGGAUCGGCCACAUUGGAACUGAGACACGGUCCAGACUCCUACGGGAGGCAGCAGUGGGGAAAUUGGGCAAUGGGCGCAAGCCUGACCCAGCAACGCCGCGUGAAGGAAGAAGGUUUUCGGAUGUAAACUUCUGUCCUUGGUGACGAAGAAAGUGACGGUAGCCAAGGAGGAAGCCCCGGCUACUACGUGCCAGCAGCCGCGGUAAUACGUAGGGGGCAAGCGUUGUCCGGAAUGACUGGGCUAAAGGGCGUGUAGGCGGCUUUUUAAGUGUGAAGUGAAAGUCCUGCUUUCAAGGUGAGAAUGCUUUGCAAACUG
rnacentral:rRNA from 1 species